rnacentral:rRNA from 1 species
GUGCAAUGGCAUAAGCCAGCUUGACUGCGAGCGUGACGGCGCGAGCAGGUGCGAAAGCAGGUCAUAGUGAUCCGGUGGUUCUGAAUGGAAGGGCCAUCGCUCAACGGAUAAAAGGUACUCCGGGGAUAACAGGCUGAUACCGCCCAAGAGUUCAUAUCGACGGCGGUGUUUGGCACCUCGAUGUCGGCUCAUCACAUCCUGGGGCUGAAGUAGGUCCCAAGGGUAUGGCUGUUCGCCAUUUAAAGUGGUACGCGAGCUGGGUUUAGAACGUCGUGAGACAGUUCGGUCCCUAUCUGCCGUGGGCGCUGGAGAACUGAGGGGGGCUGCUCCUAGUACGAGAGGACCGGAGUGGACGCAUCACUGGUGUUCGGGUUGUCAUGCCAAUGGCACUGCCCGGUAGCUAAAUGCGGAAGAGAUAAGUGCUGAAAGCAUCUAAGCACGAAACUUGCCCCGAGAUGAGUUCUCCCUGAGACUUAGAGUCUCCUGAAGGAACGUUGAAGACGACGACGUUGAUAGGCCGGGUGUGUAAGCGCAGCGAUGCGUUGAGCUAACCGGUACUAAUGAACCGUGAGGCUUAACCU